GAAGAGGUGGCUGAGUGGUUUAAGGCGGUAGACUGUAAAUCUACUAAUAUAACAUUAUCAUAGGUUCGAAUCCUAUUCUCUUCA
rnacentral:tRNA from 1 species